GCGCCGGGAGCCCGGGCGGCCGGCCGGGGGGCUCGGCGUGGGGAAGGGAUGGACGGCCGGGCGGCAUCUCCUUCUGGGCCCGGGGCGACCCGGCUGGGCGCGGCCGCCCGCCCGUAGACCGUGCUUCCCGCGCCUGCCGGGCGCCCCGCCAUUUCCUGCGGCCGGACCCGGGUGGGGUCUCCGGGCAGGGAGCCGCUCGGGGUCGCGCAUGCAGCCUUGCUGGGACAGACGGGUGUCUUGUGUCCCUCUUCGGGUGGGCGGGCGAGGGUCGCCGCAUCCUAGCUCAGAGCCCUGCGUGGGGGGAGGGGGUGCCAGAGGAAACGUGAGGCAGACACAUUCCUCCUUUUAGAGCAUUCUUCUAGACCCGGGGCUCACUCCCCUCUUGUCUUCUUUCUCGAUACCCUAACUUGUAAUAAAGAAUCACCUAGUUAGUGUGCCCUGUCUCACCUGGCUUUUGCUGCCCCGGCCUAAGUCUGUAAUUCUGUCUGUUUUGCUCUGCUCGCCGGAAUCAUGCUCGUCCCGUCUUCCCACGCCCCGGGUCUGGUUUUGUGUGCGAAGACCCCCACCCUGCAGUUUAGGCGUGGAUGCGGGCGGGAGGGCGGCGGGCAUGGGGCCCCACUCUCAGGUUUGAUGCUGCCUGGAGAUUAAAAGAGGUGUGACUUAAAAGCGAGACGAGCCAGUGUGCCUUUGCAUUUCCCGAGACCCUCACAGAUCGAUCUGCAGCCUGAUUUCCGGUGAAGGAGCCGGGCCAGCCACACCCUAGCAAAUGCCUUGGAUUAGACACCACCUGCGUUUCUGAGAGUUCCGGUUAUCCUCUUACGGUCCCUGUGUCUUAACCUUAAUUUACAUUUUCUCUAAAUGCACAUUACUUUCUCUCUGCCUCAAGGUCACACAAUGGUCAAGAUACAACUGCCGCCACCCACCUACUGUGUUCAUCUCGUGUACAACCUCCUGAGACCAGGGAGGCUCCGUCUGGGCCCCUCCUUAGACUUAAAAGAUUCUGAAACUCUGCGGGUGGGAUCCUGAAAUCUUCACUUUACCCAGUUCUCGUGACAAAUGUUAAUGGGCUUAAAUUUGGGAAUUAUUUCUCUGGGUCAUAGCUCGUUUGUCCUUUUCCUUGUGAGGGGAUUUCUUAGGGGAAAAAAAAACCUAUAAAUCCAUAGAUACCAUAAAAUUUCAGAACCAUUUGAAAAGUUUCUUUUAAGGCUUUUGAUAUUAAUAUCACAUGAAGUAUGUUGUUGAGGUCAAUAAUUAGGGUUAUCCAGGUAAAAAACAUACUCGAGUUGUGUUUCCCAUGGUGUCCUUACUACACUUGAACAAGGUGUGCUCGGAAACCGCCACCACGGCCCAUUUGUUGAUUCAGUGGUGACAUGACAUGAUGUCAUGGAUUAGAUAGGACCUUUUCAUCCAAACGGACAAAAGGUUUAGAACUGAAGUCUGUGCAAUUCUGAAGGCCCUCUUUAAGAAAAGUGUAUUAAUUUCAGAAGUUUUUCAGAAACAGGACUGGCUAUGUAAACUCCUUUCCUUGAAAGAGGUCCUGUGCUUUAAUUUCUCUGUGAUAAACACUCCAACAGAAAGUCAUAGUUAAGUGAGCCCCUUCUCCCCAGUAAUGGAAUGGUACAGGGGUUAGGCCAGGUGAGUUCUCUCUGCAUGUUUUAGUGGGGCCCUCGCUAACCCUGUGAGUCGUAGGAGCCCUUUGGGGAACGAAGGGAUGAGGCUUGAAAGAAGGUGUGUUGUGGAGCUCUAGAAAACCUGAGGCAACCUAAAGGGAAUGGAGAGAGGUAACCAGAAUAAAAUACAGCUUGGGGAGAGAAAAAACUGGUUUUCAGUUCUUCAUAUGCAGGUUUGAAAAUGCUUUCCUGCAGCUACUGUGCCCAGUUUUUCUCUGAGGCUUUUAACAUAGCAUUUUGCCAGCUAGUGGAUCCCCCCAUGUGUUGGGAGUCGGAUAGCCGGGUCUGAAAUGAUUGAUGGGUUGGAUAAGCCAUCCAGCGUCGAAAAGGCAAUCCAAGCUUUAAUCAUGUCAUCUCAGAAUUGCAAUAAACCACUUCCUCAGGGUAACUUCUGUUAAAAAAUAACCUUUUUUUUUUGGAUGCCUUAUUUUAUGUGUGUGUAUAUGUCAUUUAAAUUAAUGCAUUUGUUGGGAAGGACUUUGCAGGGGUUGUUGGGAAGGAGACCUUAGUUGGUGUUUGUAUGUUAAGUUCUUAAUAUUAUGGAGAAGACUCAAUCUUCAUUUUAAUGUCAUCACAAGCCUUAGGAAGAGCUUUGGGAAAGGGUGAAUUCUAGUAACCCUCUGAGUUAAUGUGGGUUUUCUUCAGGGCAGGUAAGUAGACUGCUGUAAGGAGGAUGGAGCAGCACACCUGAGUGAAGUCAUGUUCUGAUGCCACCACUUUGACCUUGAAACUUACAUCUUGGUUUUGGGUCCUCUGCAGUAUAAAACUAGUAAUGUUGGUAUUAUUAUCAGUUUGUUUUUAGCCUUCAUUUUUCUAACUCAUUUUCUUUUUCCCUUAUAAUUUAAAUGGUCACCUAAUAAUACUGCCUGCUUGUAUGAUUGGUGUUUUUUAUGCUAUACCAGCGUCACCUGGAGGAUGCUGGCGAAUGGCGUGGGUAAGCUGUGAGAAAAAUCAUGCGUAUUGGGAUCAGUGGUGCUGUCUGGCAUCAGUUGAGAAGGGCAGUUCCCUGCCUCACUCCGUAAUCUGAAGAGACAAGAAGUGUUUCUGAGGCGAAACAGGGCCUUGACGCUUUCCUCAUCUCAUACCCACUAGCGUAUAUCGAGUAUAAUAAUGGCAAGGAACCCUGAAAGAUUGUGGAACCCCAAGCCUUUAUCAGCACUGACAAAGGAUGGGCAGAAAGAAACACAUCCGAAGGACUUGAAUACCUGCAGAAAUCUCAAGAGCAGGAAACAAAGCUGCAGCUUAAGGAAACAGGAGUCAGAGAGGAAGAGGCACUUGGCCCAGGCAGUGAGUGCAAAGGGCUCUCUUUCCAACAGCUGUGAGAUUAUGGGAAGUGGGGGAGUGAGCAGGUGGUGUGUAAAAAGAGAGCAUGGCUGAGCGGCCCCGAGUGAGACGUACGUAACCCAUGUCUCAGAGUGUGAAACGAAAGAUGAUUUUGAGGUCUACCAGAAUUGUGGUCAGUGUGAAAAAUACACACAUGUGCACACACACACACUAGUAGGUCCCGUUUCCCACUAACCAGUCAUUUGAGAUGUAAUUAUUGCAUUGUCACCUAUUGUCUGAGGAAGAAGGCAGGGUCUGGAUUCUUACAAUAGUCUGAAUUAAAAGGCAUCUCAAAUAGUGAGCGAUUCACAGCUUCGUUGCACUGAAGUGACAGUUGUGGACCCUGCCUGGGUUUGGGUUCCCUGAAUUGUCCUUGGAAGAGCUCUCAGAGUCAAGGGACCUGCCACUGUGCCAAAGAAACCAAAAAUGUUUUCUCGUUUUUGUCGAAUUCUGUAUUAGGGGAAGGCUGCAGUUUUCCAGAAAUAGAGUUUGACAGGGUUACCCCCCAUGUGUUUUUCAUGUUACAGUUAUCAAGUUUGUGAAGUCUUUCUUCUGACUUACUAGGCACUCAGUAAACAGUAGCUGUUACUACAUGUGUACAUUCUCAUUUAACCUUUAUAACCACUCUGGGUGGGUACUGUUAUUAACUGUUUUACAAAUGAAGUUUUGAGUUUAAUUUUGUCCUGGUCAAAUUGUAAAGCCAGGAUUUGAACUCUUAAAUUUAGAGCUCUCCCUUAAACCACCAUGUGAUAAUACCCCAUGAGG